AAACUAGCAAAGACGAGGUGGU
rnacentral:siRNA from 1 species